UGGGGAAUAUUGCGCAAUGGGGGGAACCCUGACGCAGCCAUGCCGCGUGAAUGAAGAAGGCCUUCGGGUUGUAAAGUUCUUUCGGUAUUGAGGAAGGUUGAUGUGUUAAUAGCACAUCAAAUUGACGUUAAAUACAGAAGAAGCACCGGCUAACUCCGUGCCAGCAGCCGCGGUAAUACGGAGGGUGCGAGCGUUAAUCGGAAUAACUGGGCGUAAAGGGCACGCAGGCGGUUAUUUAAGUGAGGUGUGAAAGCCCCGGGCCUAACCUGGGAAUUGCAUUUCAGGCUGGGUAACUAGAGUACUUUAGGGAGGGGUAGAAUUCCACGUGUAGCGGUGAAAUGCGUAGAGAUGUGGAGGAAUACCGAAGGCGAAGGCAGCCCCUUGGGAAUGUACUGACGCUCAUGUGCGAAAGCGUGGGGAGCAAACAGGAUUAGAUACCCUGGUAGUCCACGCCGUAAACGAUGAGUGCUAGGUGUUAGACCCUUUCCGGGGUUUAGUGCCGCAGCUAACGCAUUAAGCACUCCGCCUGGGGAGUACGACCGCAAGGUUG
rnacentral:rRNA from 1 species